UUCUCUUUAUUUCUAUAAGGCUCUUCAAUAUCGUGGUUCUUCCUGCAGGUUUACUUCGACCAGUUUUUGAACCGUGGGUUCUCCAAGGAAGGGCGAUUGAUUUUUUAAGGAAUCAAGGCAGAACAAUUUCUUCACGAUCAAUAUUGGUGGGCUGGUAAGGCAAGGUGAAACAAAGAUGAGGGUUGCGGUGAUUGGCGGGGGAGUGAGCGGCCUGGUUCCGGCUUAUAUCUUGGCUAAGGCCACGUGGUUCUCUACGAGAAAGAAGAACACUUGGGUGGCCAUGCUCAGACCCGUCCAUGUCAAUGGUGUCGAUUUGGACCUUGGAUUUAUGGUGUUGAAUGGAGUAACGUAUCCCAAUAUGAUGGAGCUUUUCAAAAACCUCGGAGUUAAUGUGCAAAGAAGCGACAUGUCCUUCUCAGUGAGUUUGGAUGAAGGUAUGACAUGUGAGUGGGGGAGUAGGAAUGAGCUGUCUAGCCUUUUUGCCCAGAAGAAAAAUGCCUUUAGACCUUCCUUCUAUUGAAUGCUCCGAGAGAAUCAAAUUCAAAAGCGACGUCUUGAGGUAGGCUUCAAAAUCAAUGGAUGGCUUUUUCUCAAUGAAAAAAUCCCUGUUGCUCCAGUUAGGUCUCAUACUUGUCGAUGAAAUUACUUUUGGCCAAUUUAUUGUAAAUAAAAAAC